rnacentral:rRNA from 1 species
UGCCAGCAGCCGCGGUAAUACGGAGGGUGCAAGCGUUGUCCGGAUUUAUUGGGUUUAAAGGGUGCGUAGGCGGACUUAUAAGUCAGUGGUGAAAUCUUGCAGCUCAACUGUAAAAUUGCCAUUGAUACUGUAAGUCUUGAGUUUGAUUGAGGUGGUUGGAAUGCGUGGUGUAGCGGUGAAAUGCAUAGAGAUCACGCAGAACGCCGAUUGCGAAGGCAGAUCACUAAAUCAAAACUGACGCUGAGGCACGAAAGCGUGGGGAGCGAACAGGAUUAGAUA